ensembl:lncRNA
GUGCCUGGACAGAUCUACCAGAGAAAGGUAUGUUCCAUAUAAAAAUCCAGAAAUUCAACCACUUAUUAACCUUGAAUGAGGAUGUAACAUGACUAAGACUGGCAACUUGUCACUGACAAUGACCAUCAUCCAUCAUUAAAUGUGAAUAAUCAAGCCAUUCUACAAACACACGCAGAGCUGUAUCUUGAUUUCAAUGUACACCAGAGAGCAAAGACAGCAGUUUACAAACUCGUUCUGAUUCAGAAUGAGAGCAGCAGUUUAGGGAAUCUGUUAUGGAACUGUAUCUGAAUCCUGUGUGGGUGACUGGUCCUGACAGUGGUGUGUGAAACGCCGGGCUCUUCCUCCGUCAGUGUGUUCAUGAGCUCAUCAGCUGAUCAUUCACAGAAGAGGAAGGCUGGACACACACUCAGUGUGUUCUGUAUAUGACCAUCACCAUGGACACCAGGGCUGCCAAGGCCGGAGCUGCAGCAGCCUGUUCAUAGAAUAAAAAGCACAGAGGCAGUGAAUGACGGAGAGGCAGAGGAGAGUGAUCGUACGUGAAGAUAGCAACGAUCACUCAUAAAUAUGGCCAAGUGGAGCGGAGAGGACAGAAUGGUUUCCCCGAUGGCAGAUUGGGACUGGGACUGUGGUCUGAAUCCUCGAGGAUGCCAGAACUCUUUCAGGUCUUUAAGCCCCUUUUCUCUCUCUGAGUUUGACCUAUGGGAGAAGUCGCUCUUAAAGACUCGGUCCUCAGCAUGGAGUUGUAUGGGUUUGUCUGGAUCAGGUCACCGCUCCAAAAUCAGCACCAGCUCUCUAGGCAGCCAGUGUGGAGUAAAACAGAGUGAAUCAGCCGGUUUGAAAAGGUGGCGGUCUGCCUCUCGCCUAGCACCUGAGGGUGCUCCUCCAGCCUGCUCCUCUCAGGGGGUAGAACUGAGAGUUGCCCUGGAGGAGAGCAGCAUGAGGAGGGCAGAGCUGAUCCGAAGGCUGCGGCUGGCUCAGGGAAGUCUGGACACUCAGACAGAUCUCCUGAAGGCCAAGGAGAGCCAGCUUCAGCACAGCCAGAGCACCACACAGAUGCUGGAGCUCAAGCAUAAGCAGCUGGCAAAGGCAUUGAGUGCUCUUGAGGAGGAGAAGGAUGCAGUUGAGCUAAGCCGCUAUAAGGAGAGCCGUUGUCGGGCAGAGCUGCAGGAAAAGGUGUUGCGGCUGGAAAUGGACCUGUUUAGGAUGAAAUCAAGCUUAGACAUGAAAAACUCUGAUGAAACUUCAGCAUCACAGCCAAACUCACAGCUAAACAGGACCAUGCCUGUAACAAAGGAUGACUUUAUCAAAGAGGGACAGAACCAGACAGAAACAGAGAUGAAGAAACUGAAAAAAGCUCUCAGAGAGGCUGAGGAGAGAACAGAAACCCUGGAGGCUGAAAGGAAUCAUGCAGUAAAACAGCUCUAUUCUUCUAAGGAGGGGCACCGCAAGGCACUGAACCAGAUUGAGGAGCUGAAGCAGAAGCUUGGAAAGUCUCUGCAGGUCCAGAGUGAGCUGCAGGAGCAACUCAGCGAUGCCCGCAGCCGCUUGGGCCAGCUGGAGCUGGAAAAAGACUUGCUCUCCACUAAAACAUUGCGGUUGGAGGACGGUCUAGAGGACCUAAAGGCCAAGCUUUCUGCAGCUUUAGCUGAUAAAGACAGACUGGUGCAGGAAAAGGCUGACCUGCAUCAAAAGACCCAGAGUUUGAAGUUGCAGCUUCAGAGAGCCCAGCUGGGUAGGGAAGGAUUCACCGAGCAGGUGUGUGAGCUCCACUCAGAGCUGACUCAGGCCAAGAGCCAGGCCAGCCGACAACAACAGAAUACAUUACUGAUGAAGGAGGAGCUGCAGUCAAUCAAAGAGGUAAAUGAGAAGCUUACAGCUGAUCUUGCAGCAGCUACAGAGAGACUCCAGGAGACUUUUAAGAAGCUUCAUGAGCUGGAGGCUGAGAGACUGAUCCACACCAAUCAGAUCACAGCUCUAGAGACUGAACGCUUGCAGCUGAUUGGAGAGAAGGAGGAGAUGGUUGAUGUGUUUGAUCAGGGAAAUCAGGAAGAGCUCAGAGAACUGAGGGAGAAGUGCUACCACCUCAGGGAUUUACAGAUAACUUUGGAGCAGGAGAAUCAGGACCUCCGGGCACAAUGUCAGGGUCUGGAGAAGAAAGUGCAGAAUAUGGAGGCGGAGUAUGGGUGUAAAGAGGAGGAGCUACUGCGCUUGGAAAUGGAGCUGGAAGAAGAAAAGGAGGAGCAGAAGAAAGUGGCAGCCCAUUGGAAUGAGCGGUGGCUGGAUAUCUCACUGGCUCUGCAGUCCACUCAGGCCGAACUAGAGGAGACUAAGAAACAUCAUGAGGAGAAAGAUACAGUGAGGGAGGACAUGGCAGCAGAAUUGGCCAGCAUGGUGGAGACACUGGAGACACAGCUAAAGAAUGGACAGGAUCAGAUCCAGAGCUUACUGGAACAGAAAACACAACUUGAGACAGAGAUGUCCCGAGUCAAGAAAGAAGCUGGUGCUUUGGAGCGAGUGGAGCUUGAUGCCUGCAGACAGCAGCUGGAACUAGAACAAAGCAGGAGACAAAGCCUACAGCAGAGACUGCUGGGAAACCCUGUGUCUCUGGAGGAGAUGGAGCUGGUGCAGGUGAAGGCUGAGCUGCAGAAGAUGUGGGACAUGCUAAAGAGCCGGGACACUGAGCUGGAGGAGCAGCAGCAGGAGCUGCAGUCUGCUCGAGGCCAGGUGACCCAGCAGAGCAGUGAGGUGCAAAGGCUGGAGCAACAACUGUCUGAGAGAGAGCAGGAGCUGAAGGAAAGAGAUCUCAUUUUGAAGAGCAUAAUGAGUCAGCAAGACAAAGAGAAAAAAGAAACCCAAAUGAAACUAACUGCUCUAGAGAAAGAGCUUGCUGGACUUAAAGCACUGAAGACUGAGCAGUCACUGAACACUGUUCAAAAAGACCCUCAGACUUCUGAAUCUUUGAAAGCUAAAUUAGAGGUGACAAAGAAUGAAGGGACAGCUGAGAGACCACAUACAACAAAACCUCCUCAACAGGACAAAGAACAGAAAGGAUCUCCAUCAGUUACCAGAAAGGAGAAAUCAGUCAGCAUUAACAACAUAGACCCUGACCACCAGAGAAGGCUAAUCACAGAACAACUGAAGAUUUUAUUUAAAGAGAGAGAACAGCUGGGCGAUAAAGCAUCUACAGCACUCCAGAAAAGACCUACCUCAGUGAUCGACUUGAGUCCAAAGUCUAAAUCUAUGAAGAAUGUGGAAACACUAAGCAGUGAGGGGAAGAAUCAGCAGGAGGAGCACAGACAGGCUGUGAGUGUCCAGCAAGGGGCAGAAGAGAACAACUCAGACAGUCAAGAGAGAGCUCAUUCAGAGCAGAUGACCUCUGAGGAAGGGCCACAGGUUCAGAUGUCAGCACAGAGAGUGGAAAUGGAGGAGUUAAAAGACACAAACGAGAAUCGUCUCAAAGCCACGCUGAAAUUACAGCGGAAGUUCCAGGAUGUAAGACUGAUUAAAACUAGUGAUGAGGCACCAACCAUUGUACCCUGUGUUCCUGGCUUCCUAAAUAAUGAAGAAGAGAAACUUCAAAUGAGACCACCCUUGCUAUGUAUAGAAGGAACAUUCACAGCCAGGCAGGUGGAGUCUAUGUCCAACCUCCCUAAAAGAGAAGCUUUUGUACCAGUUCUUUCCUGGGAGAACACAGCAAGUCUGAGUGUACAGCUCUGGAGUUCUUCAAGAGUGCGGACCUGAAGAACCAGGUGAAGGUCGGGGCUGAGGCUUUGUGGCUGGUCAGAUGCAUCCAAAGGACCUCUGCAGAGUGGUGGCAGACUGGCCUCAACCAUCACCCUUCCCAGCUUGUACACCGUCCCUGUAAGGCCGAGCAAGGAGAUGGUAAGUGUCUGCUGUGCUGCUGAGAAAGUCAGGGUAAAAUUCAGGGAAGGAUAUAUAUUUUUAUAGCUUACAUUUAAACCAUAGCUGGGGAACAAAGGGUUCUCCACAAGCUGGCUUUGGUGUUGAAUGGAGGAGAGGGAACUUGGACUUGCUGAGGACGUUCUGAGUAGUAUGCUUUCACUGUUGGGGCAGAUGUCCCCCGUCACAGGGCAAUGGUGCUUAAGCACUUUCUGGGUCUUUGACAGGAGUCCAAGCUUGGGAAAGGAGGGCAGUGAGGAGCGUCCACUGACCAUUGGUCUGUAGAGUGGUGUGGAGAGAGUUGGGGAGCUUAGCCGCCGUAGGGGGAAGCAAGACUUGGGCUGUUUGUUAAGUUCCGAGGUGGUACGAGGUCUUGAGGCAAAGGACAUGGCGCUAAAAUCAUCAUCUGAUGGUGUGGAACUUUCGAAGGCAGAUGGGUAGUCAAGUACAUCUCCUUCCAGCUCUUCAUACUCAACUUUUGUGGUAGUGGCCUCUGAGGACACAGAGGGGUGAACGGCCAGGGUCACAUGAUCAGCAGCAGGAGGUGGGGGGGCUGAUGUCUGUUUCUCUUUGUCUUCAGGACGUUUUCGCCGGGUCCUUCUCCAACAGAGGACACAGCCCAGGACCAGAGAUAAACAGAAGACCACCAAGCCCACACCAAGCAGAAUCUGGAGGUGGACUGAAUAGAUAGUGGAGUCAGAAUGACACACUAAUCUGCAAUUUCAGGCUCUGUUCAAAAGAUUGCAGUAAUCCUGAACAAGAAUUAAAAUAUUCAUGCAGGCCUUAAAAAAAACAAUGAGAUUUUUUAUAUAACCUUCUAUUUUAUAACAGUGCAGAAGUG